rnacentral:rRNA from 1 species
AUUGAACGCUGGCGGCAGGCCUAACACAUGCAAGUCGAACGGUAACAGGAAGAAGCUUGCUUCUUUGCUGACGAGUGGCGGACGGGUGAGUAAUGUCUGGGAAACUGCCUGAUGGAGGGGGAUAACUACUGGAAACGGUAGCUAAUACCGCAUAACGUCGCAAGACCAAAAAGGGGGGCCUUCGGGCCUCUUGCCAUCGGAUGUGCCCAGAUGGGAUUAGCUAGUAGGUGGGGUAACGGCUCACCUAGGCGACGAUCCCUAGCUGGUCUGAGAGGAUGACCAGCCACACUGGAACUGAGACACGGUCCAGACUCCUACGGGAGGCAGCAGUGGGGAAUAUUGCACAAUGGGCGCAAGCCUGAUGCAGCCAUACCGCGUGUAUGAAGAAGGCCUUCGGGUUGUAAAGUACUUUCAGCGGGGAGGAAGGGAGUAAAGUUAAUACCUUGGCUCAUUGACGUUACCCGCAGAAGAAGCACCGGCUAACUCCGUG